UAGAACACUGGUUUCUGUAUGAUUACUGAAGUUAAGCAACAUCAUGCCUGGUCAGCACCUAGAUGGGUGACCACUUGGGAAUACCAGGUGCUGUAAG